rnacentral:rRNA from 1 species
UACGUAGGGCGCAAGCGUUGUCCGGAAUUAUUGGGCGUAAAGAGCUCGUAGGCGGCUUGUCGCGUCGAUUGUGAAAGCCCGGGGCUUAACCUCGGGUCUGCAGUCGAUACGGGCUGGCUAGAGUGUGGUAGGGGAGAUCGAAUUCCUGGUGUAGCGGUGAAAUGCGCAGAUAUCAGGAGGAACACCGGUGGCGAAGGCGGAUCUCUGGGCCAUUACUGACGCUGAGGAGCGAAAGCGUGGGGAGCGAACAGG